rnacentral:rRNA from 1 species
AUUGAACGCUGGCGGCAUGCCUUACACAUGCAAGUCGAACGGCAGCACGGGAGCAAUCCUGGUGGCGAGUGGCGAACGGGUGAGUAAAGUAUCGGAACGUGCCCAGUCGUGGGGGAUAACGUAGCGAAAGUUACGCUAAUACCGCAUACGAUCUACGGAUGAAAGCGGGGGAUCGCAAGACCUCGCGCGAUUGGAGCGGCUGAUAUCAGAUUAGGUAGUUGGUGGGGUAUGGGCUCACCAAGCCGACGAUCUGUAGCUGGUCUGAGAGGACGACCAGCCACACCGGGACUGAGACACGGCCCAGACUCCUACGGGAGGCAGCAGUGGGGAAUUUUGGACAAUGGGCGCAAGCCUGAUCCAGCCAUGCCGCGUGCAGGAUGAAGGCCUUCGGGUUGUAAACUGCUUUUGUACGGAACGAAAAGGUUUGGCCUAAUAAGCUGGACCCAUGACGGUACCGUAAGAAUAAGCACCGGCUAACUACGUGCCAGCCGCCGCGGUAA